CCCGGUUUAAGCGUGUAGGUGUGUGUUCCAGGUAAAUCCGGUUCACUUUAACACUGAGGCGUGACGACGAGGCACUACGGUGCUGAAGCAACAAAUGCCCUGCUUCCAGGAAAAGCCUCUAAGCAUCAGGUAACAUCAAAUCGUACCCCAAACCGACACAGGUGGUCAGGUAGAGAAUACCAAGGCGCUUGAGAGAACUCGGGUGAAGGAACUAGGCAAAAUGGUGCCGUAACUUCGGGAGAAGGCACGCUGACACGUAGGUGAAGUGAUUUACUCAUGGAGCUGAAGUCAGUCGAAGAUACCAGCUGGCUGCAACUGUUUAUUAAAAACACAGCACUGUGCAAACACGAAAGUGGACGUAUACGGUGUGACGCCUGCCCGGUGCCGGAAGGUUAAUUGAUGGGGUCAGCGCAAGCGAAGCUCCUGAUCGAAGCCCCGGUAAACGGCGGCCGUAACUAUAACGGUCCUAAGGUAGCGAAAUUCCUUGUCGGGUAAGUUCCGACCUGCACGAAUGGCGUAAUGAUGGCCAGGCUGUCUCCACCCGAGACUCAGUGAAAUUGAACUCGCUGUGAAGAUGCAGUGUACCCGCGGCAAGACGGAAAGACCCCGUGAACCUUUACUAUAGCUUGACACUGAACAUUGAGCCUUGAUGUGUAGGAUAGGUGGGAGGCUUUGAAGUGUGGACGCCAGUCUGCAUGGAGCCGACCUUGAAAUACCACCCUUUAAUGUUUGAUGUUCUAACGUGGACCCGUUACCCGGGUUGCGGACAGUGUCUGGUGGGUAGUUUGACUGGGGCGGUCUCCUCCUAAAGAGUAACGGAGGAGCACGAAGGUUGGCUAAUCCUGGUCGGACAUCAGGAGGUUAGUGCAAUGGCAUAAGCCAGCUUGACUGCGAGCGUGACGGCGCGAGCAGGUGCGAAAGCAGGUCAUAGUGAUCCGGUGGUUCUGAAUGGAAGGGCCAUCGCUCAACGGAUAAAAGGUACUCCGGGGAUAACAGGCUGAUACCGCCCAAGAGUUCAUAUCGACGGCGGUGUUUGGCACCUCGAUGUCGGCUCAUCACAUCCUGGGGCUGAAGUAGGUCCCAAGGGUAUGGCUGUUCGCCAUUUAAAGUGGUACGCGAGCUGGGUUUAGAACGUCGUGAGACAGUUCGGUCCCUAUCUGCCGUGGGCGCUGGAGAACUGAGGGGGGCUGCUCCUAGUACGAGAGGACCGGAGUGGACGCAUCACUGGUGUUCGGGUUGUCAUGCCAAUGGCACUGCCCGGUAGCUAAAUGCGGAAGAGAUAAGUGCUGAAAGCAUCUAAGCACGAAACUUGCCCCGAGAUGAGUUCUCCCUGAGACUUUAGGUCUCCUGAAGGAACGUUGAAGACGACGACGUUGAUAGGCCGGGUGUGUAAGCGCAGCGAUGCGUUGAGCUAACCGGUACUAAUGAACCGUGAGGCUUAACCUU
rnacentral:rRNA from 1 species